UUAAACAUUAAAUUAGGUUGCUGAAAUAAAUCUCUUCACCUGUCAUGCUGUCUCGAAUGACCUCCUCAUCGAGUUUCUAAUCGAUAUCCGACCUCACUUUUUCUUACCGUUAGCAAGUUAGCUAACGUGUCAAACGUACCCAGCAACCAGGCAUACUGCUCCCGUAAUCAAGUUUCCUGCUGGAGUCGGGCUGUUGAUUCUUGUCUAGCCCAUGAUGACUGGUUGAAAGGACAUUACAAAAUAGGCUACGUCAAUUCACCACAAGUCAAAAUCAGAUCAACAGACAGGGACAUCGGCCUUCUCUUGGGAAUAUGCCAGAUAUGCCAUAACAAGAAAAAAUGGUGUUUUGCCCCUGCGGUUGUGAAGAGGAUGCUGUGGAGGUGGCAGCAUGAACGUGUCACACAGACAUUGGCUAAACUACUCGGCUUCUACACUUGCCCUCAGAGUUCACAUAUGGUUAAGUGCACAGGUGGCCAGCCAGGUUCAGACUGAUACUGGUAACAAGAGGAAAACAUGCUGAUUGGUAAGUGAGAUCCCUACUAAAAAAUCCACACAGCACAACAAGUAAGCCUAGUUUGUGGUAUCAAAUGUAAAAUGUAAGUUUCAUCAAAAAGUUGUAGAACACAUCUGAAUAAAUUGCAGGCCAUCAAAGUAGUGAAUGGGCAGGGAAAACACAACCAGUAGGCUUAUGAAUUACUUUGACUCAGCACAGCACAGCAGAUGUGAUGCUACCAUUCCUUGGGAAUAUGACACAGAGGUCUGCUAUUCCAUUGUAAAUAUUGACUGGAAAUGUUCAUGUUUCAACUGUUUAAAAACAUUGGACUCAGGGGAAAAAAUCUCUAGGUGUAUAUAAGUGAAAGCCCACCUUUGCCAUUGUGACACAGCACACAAGUAUACACACAACGAAAUUGCAUUUUAUGCCUCACCUGUGCAAGGGUGCAGCCUACAUUGGCAUCCCAAGGGAGCAGUAUGUUGCAGUGUGGCAGGAAGGUACCAUGCUUGGGGUACCUCAGUCAUGGAGGAUGGAGGAGAGAGCACUGGUUAAUUACUCCCUCCACAUACCUGGCGGGCUGGGAGAUGAACCAGCAACCUUUGGGUUGUUCAGCCCUGGGCUACAGGACACCCUAACCGCUUACCAAUGACUGCCCCACUUAUCCAUGACUAUAUAAAAA